rnacentral:rRNA from 2 species
CUGGUAUUGAUUGGUGCUUGCAUCAUGAUUUACAUUUGAGUGAGUGGCGAACUGGUGAGUAACACGUGGGAAACCUGCCCAGAAGCGGGGGAUAACACCUGGAAACAGAUGCUAAUACCGCAUAACAACUUGGACCGCAUGGUCCGAGCUUGAAAGAUGGCUUCGGCUAUCACUUUUGGAUGGUCCCGCGGCGUAUUAGCUAGAUGGUGGGGUAACGGCUCACCAUGGCAAUGAUACGUAGCCGACCUGAGAGGGUAAUCGGCCACAUUGGGACUGAGACACGGCCCAAACUCCUACGGGAGGCAGCAGUAGGGAAUCUUCCACAAUGGACGAAAGUCUGAUGGAGCAACGCCGCGUGAGUGAAGAAGGGUUUCGGCUCGUAAAACUCUGUUGUUAAAGAAGAACAUAUCUGAGAGUAACUGUUCAGGUAUUGACGGUAUUUAACCAGAAAGCCACGGCUAACUACGUGCCAGCAGCCGCGGUAAUACGUAGGUGGCAAGCGUUGUCCGGAUUUAUUGGGCGUAAAGCGAGCGCAGGCGGUUUUUUAAGUCUGAUGUGAAAGCCUUCGGCUCAACCGAAGAAGUGCAUCGGAAACUGGGAAACUUGAGUGCAGAAGAGGACAGUGGAACUCCAUGUGUAGCGGUGAAAUGCGUAGAUAUAUGGAAGAACACCAGUGGCGAAGGCGGCUGUCUGGUCUGUAACUGACGCUGAGGCUCGAAAGUAUGGGUAGCAAACAGGAUUAGAUACCCUGGUAGUCCAUACCGUAAACGAUGAAUGCUAAGUGUUGGAGGGUUUCCGCCCUUCAGUGCUGCAGCUAACGCAUUAAGCAUUCCGCCUGGGGAGUACGGCCGCAAGGCUGAAACUCAAAGGAAUUGACGGGGGCCCGCACAAGCGGUGGAGCAUGUGGUUUAAUUCGAAGCUACGCGAAGAACCUUACCAGGUCUUGACAUACUAUGCAAAUCUAAGAGAUUAGACGUUCCCUUCGGGGACAUGGAUACAGGUGGUGCAUGGUUGUCGUCAGCUCGUGUCGUGAGAUGUUGGGUUAAGUCCCGCAACGAGCGCAACCCUUAUUAUCAGUUGCCAGCAUUAAGUUGGGCACUCUGGUGAGACUGCCGGUGACAAACCGGAGGAAGGUGGGGAUGACGUCAAAUCAUCAUGCCCCUUAUGACCUGGGCUACACACGUGCUACAAUGGAUGGUACAACGAGUUGCGAACUCGCGAGAGUAAGCUAAUCUCUUAAAGCCAUUCUCAGUUCGGAUUGUAGGCUGCAACUCGCCUACAUGAAGUCGGAAUCGCUAGUAAUCGCGGAUCAGCAUGCCGCGGUGAAUACGUUCCCGGGCCUUGUACACACCGCCCGUCACACCAUGAGAGUUUGUAACACCCAAAGUCGGUGGG